GAAAUGCGAUAAGUAGUGUGAAUUGCAGAAUUCAGUGAAUCAUCGAAUCUUUGAACGCACAUUGCGCCCCUCGGUAUUCCGUGGGGCAUGCCUGUUCGAGCGUCAUCUACACCCUCAAGCUCUGCUUGGUGUUGGGCGUCUGUCCCGCCUCCGCGCGCGGACUCGCCCCAAAUGCAUUGGCAGCGGUUCCUUGCCCCCCUCUUUGCGCAGCACAUUGCCAUUCGAGGCGGCGGCGGCCCGCGUCCAACAAGCUCAACCCCCCCGUCUUUGACCUCGGAUCAGGUAGGGAUACCCGCUGAACUUAGGC
rnacentral:misc_RNA from 1 species